AAGGUUUCUUCGAGGACUUUGGCAUACUGCAGGU
rnacentral:sRNA from 1 species